UACGUAGGGGGCUAGCGUUGUCCGGAAUCAUUGGGCGUAAAGCGCGUGUAGGCGGUCCGGUAAGUCCGCUGUGAAAGUCGAGGGCUCAACCCUCGAAUGCCGGUGGAUACUGUCGGGCUUGAGUACGGGAGAGGCGAGUGGAAUUCCUGGUGUAGCGGUGAAAUGCGCAGAUAUCAGGAGGAACACCGAUUGCGAAGGCAGCUCACUACGCGAUUAUUGACACUGAGGCACGAAAGCGUGGGGAUCAAACAGG
rnacentral:rRNA from 1 species